GCAGCCGCGGUAAUUCCAGCUCCAAUAGCGUAUAUUUAAGUUGUUGCAGUUAAAAAGCUCGUAGUUGAACCUUGGGCUUGGUUAGCCGGUCCGCCUUUUGGUGAGUACUGGAUCUAACCGAGCCUUUCCUUCUGGGUAACCUUUCUUUCGGGGAAGGCGAACCAGGACUUUUACUUUGAAAAAAUUAGAGUGUUCAAAGCAGGCCUUUGCCCGAAUACAUUAGCAUGGAAUAAUAGAAUAGGACGUGUGGUUCUAUUUUGUUGGUUUCUAGGACCGCCGUAAUGAUUAAUAGGGAUAGUCGGGGGCAUCAGUAUUCAAUCGUCAGAGGUGAAA
rnacentral:rRNA from 13 species